ensembl:rRNA 5S_rRNA 5S ribosomal RNA
GUCUACAGCCAUAACACCCUGACCGUGCCAAUCUCGUCUGGUCUCAGAAGCUAAGCAGGGUUGGGUCUGCUUAGUACUUGGGUGGGAGACAGAUCUUCAGAAGAGACUGCUCAGAGACA